AACCCCCCUCGAGCUCCCUUCUGAGCUCGGCGUGGGGGGACCGCUGGAACCCCAGCGGUCCCCCGAAACUCAGUGGCGGCGGCGCUGUGGCGCGACGCGAGUAGUAGCUUAACUCUCACGAAGCCCCUGCGUCUGCUUGUCGGCAACGAGCCCCCCAACAUAAUCUAAU
rnacentral:misc_RNA from 1 species